CAACAUUGAAAUUUGCAUGAAGUUUAAGAAGAAAAGAAGUUCCUCUCUGAUCUUCUCCUUUUGCAAUUCUAAUCAAUGAAUGAGAAUGCUUGGGUAAACAUGCCUUCCUCUGCUGUGCUGGUAACCCAGCCCUCAGAGUGAUGGGUUUGAAUCUGAGAACCUCCAAGUGACAUCUUUGACUGGGAAAACUGUCACUGACUGACUGCCUCCUUCAAGCUGACUACAAUGCAGUCCACAAAUAAAGUGCUCAGGCAAGUAUGGGUUGUUUAUAUGAUUCAUAUAAAGUGCAACUUUUCUGCUUUUAGAAAGAAACACAAGUCAAAUCUCUGACAAAGCUCUGAAGAGUAAGCUGUAGUCCACAUUGCUAUAUCUUGCUCCUUGCUGUGAUAUCUGAAUAUUUUGUGGAACUCUAUAAUGCAUGACUGCCACUGAAGCCUGUGGUGUUUUCCUCUGCCUUCAACAGCCACUGGAAAGACACGGAGAAAAUUAUUGAAGAGGGAGGAAACAUUUACAAAUAGUGGCUAUGUUACUUCUUAAGCCAAAAAAGAAAAAAAAAAGGGCAAAAAUAAAAGCAUAGUUAAACGGCAGGAAGUGGUUCUUCAGAGAAUAAUUCUCCCAAGCUCUUGUCCCAUUUUUCGCCUUGAUCCCAUAAGUAGAACACAGCAACUCUCGAAGGACAGGUGUGGGCUGCUGGCUCCAUGGGACAUGUGCAAGCACACUGCCUGUCGGUCUAAGUGAAGAGGGAGAGAGAGCACCUGCAUGCCUCUGGGAAGAUGAUGCCUCAGAAGAGAGGGGAAGAUGAAAUGCAGCAGGCAGGCAGGAGGAGGCUGUGACAAGCAAGGGGGAGGCAAAAAAUGGCUAGUAGAGGAACUGGGAAGAAGAAUCUGCCCACAAGGAAACUCUUUUUAGCUGUCAGUGUGACAGCACUCUCACUGCACGACAGCAGCUGUGCUGACCACAGGCACUGCCCUGAUGCCUGGUCUGGCAGUCUGGUCACGCCCAGCCCUGUCCUGACAUGGGCAGGCAGCACCCAGCCUCUGCCAUUGGAAAGCAUGGACAUGGAGACAUGGGGACACCUGAGCAGAUGGGAGACCAAAACAUGCAGCAAAGCUGUGGAGAUCCCCCAGCCCCUGGAAGAUGGUGGAGCUGUGGGACUGAAGGCAUCAUUUGCGGACAUGAGAUGAGUGUGCAGGAUGUGCUGCUCCAGCUAAAGGCCUGCUUCCCAUCUAACAUCUUCUGGCCACAAUUAAUUUUGAAAUGUAUGAAAGUACCUGUGACGUUUUGAAAAAAUAUGACAAUAUUUUCCUGUUGCUUGGAGAGAUGUAGCUGGAGAUAAGAGCUAUGUUUAAAACAACUCAUCAUGAACUGAAAUAAAGAAUAACUGAGACUUA